rnacentral:lncRNA from 1 species
UUUUAUUUGUCUAUUCUGUUUUUUUUAAUUCCCCAAAUUUUUCACAUGUUUUAAUGACUUCCAAGUACAACAUAUAUAAAUACAAUUCUACAAACAAAACUGGACCGUAGAGAGUAUACAUCUAAUCAAUAUAUUUGUUAGAGUCAAAUAUUAAAGUCCAACCUAAUUGGUUUACGUAGUUGUAACCAAAUUGAACUAGUGUUAAGAGUUCUGAUUAAUUAGGUAUUUCUCGAGCAUUAAGGAAUAGUGAAAUACAAAUUAAUUUCUAGGGAACUUUAACGAAAAGUUUCCGGUAUUGUUCAUUUUAAUGAAAAACCACAUUUACACUAAAAAAUCAAUCCUAGUACUAUUCACUUUUCAUUAGUUUUCUUAAUUUCUAUUGGUUAAGAGGUUCCUGCAUGGAAGACAAUUUUAUGGUCUUUAGUAUUCGAGUGAUAGGCUCACUAGGGUUUUUAGAAUCCAUUAGUCAGCACGAUUUUAGGGCCUGUUGACUUUAUAAAUUUGAGGUCUCUAUUAGAACUCCCCAUCAAUGUUCAUUAUAUAAGGAGCAGCAGUGCAUAGAAGUGCUUCAAUCUAUUUCGUCCUGAAUUCGCCACAAAAUGUAUUACAAGAAAUAAAAUUCUCUUGAAGGUGAUAGAUACUAGAGAAUUUUGAGAAUCAUAAAAUUAGUGUGAUGAGUGUUAAUCAGUUUAAAAUUGUUCUGAAAACCUAAAAAAUGAAAUUGGAGAAAAACUUAUUCCUUUAUAACAUUUACAUGACAUGCCACAAUACCAAUAUACUUUUGUCAUACAAAUCCUUCACUGAAAAUUGACGUCCUCCCUUACGUUAUCUGGAAAAUAAACAAACCAAAAGGGUGCAUUAGUUUUUAGCACUCAGCACCAGCAGCCGUCUCCCCACUAUAAAACAUUACAAAUAAAAUAAAUAAUCCUUAAAUGCAUGGAUCCCUAGUAAUCAUCAUAACUUCAAACCUAAAGGAAGGGAAUGAAAGGAAGGGAAGACCAAGCCACAAAGUGAUACUCCCUUGAAACCUAAAGAAGAACCCUACGCUUACAUAAGGAGGAAGAGAAACCAUUGGAGGGAAAAAUACAGAUGAGAUUAGAGUAACACAAAGAGAGACAUAGAGAAAACGUAGUGAGAGAGAACUACCCAGGAAAAAGCCCAGAAAGUUCCACUUAGCCCAGAAGCAUACUCCAAGCCCCAAGCAUCACCAUCCAUGCAACCUUAGUAAUUUUCGUAGCUUUACAUCAAACAUCCCGGCCAUUAGAAACCUAACUAUCACCCUAGGAAAGCCUAGAUUAUCUAGCAAAGAAUGUCAUGCAACCAUACAAAUCCCUUCUCUCUCAUGUAAAUUGAUAAUCUUCUAGCUUUCACACCACGCUUCACUUGAGCAAGUCAUUAUCUUGAUCUUACACGCUAUCUUCGAGUUGUUGAUAUUACCAGGGUAUUUUCUAAGACAAGCUAUCUCUUUUGAGAUAUCAUGAGACUUGUUAUGAAUCUGCACCAAGAGAGACAAGAGGACGUUCUCAAAGCCCAAGUCCACUUCGACCUAAAAGUCCCCCAACAGAUGUCAAACCACCCCCUCCUCUCUUGUAGUUUUAUUUGUUUUCUUAAGAGGGACAUGUUUAUGUCUCUCUCUCUUUUCUUGUACAUUUUACUUUAUUAUUUUUUCUUAUAUUACGACCCUAAUUAAGUGUAACUUCUCUUUUUGAUUUAAUAAAAUUUCUCUCGUAUCAUCGAGAUUCUUCUAAAAAAAUUAAAAAAAAAUAGAAAAAGAAAGAAAGUAGCUUACUCCAUACAAAUACAAGGUCGGUAUGUGAGUUAUAGGGCAAGUAUAUUAAAAAAAGGGUCAAUUUCAUACAACUGCAGUUUAUUUAGGAUCUAAUUAUUGGGAAAUAUUGACAUUAUUGUUUUCAUGCAUGGAAAACUAGAUGUAAAAUUGAGGGAUUAUGAUUCUUUCCCUUCCUCUCACAUUCUUUAUUUCAUCUUUCUCUUUCUAUAAAAAAAUUAAUAUAAGAUGUUGACGUAGUUUAACUAUGACCGUUCAAAUAAGAGGGGAGGAAAGAGGAGGGAAAAAAAAAGGAAGAGAAUGCUACUCCAAAAUUGAGAUGAGCUAAACUUUGAAGCCAACAUUUAUUAAUAAAAAUGAUUUUAUUUGUCUAUUCUGUUUUUUUUAAUUCCCCAAAAUUUUCGGGAAAUUUGGAAAAAUAACCACAAUUUGGACCUCAUAUAGAAUUAUAGCCACCCUUUUAAAUUUAUGAUAAUUAUAACCAAAAGUUGACAUAAAAAUACUAAUAUACCCUUAAAAUUACCAAAACGCAAAAUUAAAAUAUGCAAACCACUGUAGACGGAUUCAACGGAUUCCCCUUCCCCUUCAAUUGGAUUCGAAGUCAGAGCCUUUGAACACAAAAUUCCUAAAUCAUUUAAGCUAUCACAUUUCAAGCUCUUUUAGUUCUUCUUCAAUCGUAUAUGAAUCCAAUUGACGAUUUUGGUCUUCUAUUUUUUCUUUUUCUACUCCCCAUUCUUUUACUUAUGUCUUCCAAAACUUAACAACGUUCUGAACAAAAAAAAUUGUUAGAAGUGGGUCUUUUUAUCGGCUUUCUUCCAAGUUUAUGAUGGAAUAAAUCAAAAUUAACAAAUUCUAUUUGUUUCGUCAGAUUUCAAGAUGGAAAAUAAUUUGGGGAUUCACAAAUGGUGCCAAAAGGAAUAAAUUUGAACCCAAAUCAGCGAUCUGGGGACUAGGAUUUUUGUAGCCCCUCUGGUUUGUUUUCAAAUCUUUUUUAUCUUGAAGGUCGAUUUUUUCAUGGUUAAGAGCAGCAAAUGAGGAAUGUUUUAGCCAUUAGGGGUAUUUUAGUACUUUUAUAUCAACUUUUGGUUAUAAUUAUCAUAAAUUUAACAUUGUGGCUAUAAUUCUAUAUGAGAUCUAAAUUCUGGUUAUUUUUCCAAAUUUCUCAAAAUUUUCACAUGUUUUAUUGACUACCAAGUACAACAUAUAUAAAUACAAUUCUACAAAGAAAACUGGACCGUAGGAGUAUACAUCUAAUCAAUAUAUUUGUUAGAGUCAAAUAUUAAAGUCCAACCUAAUUGGUUUACGUAGUUGUAACCAAAUUGAACUAGUGUUAAGAGUUCUGAUUAAUUAGCUAUUUCUCGAGCAUUAAGGAAUAGUGAAAUACAAAUUAAUUUCUAGGGAACUUUAACGAAAAGUUUCCGGUAUUGUUCAUUUUAAUGAAAAACCAUAUUUUUAAACUAAAAAAUCAAUCCUAGUACUAUUCACUUUACCUUUUAUUUUGUUCUUAUCAUUAAAACUCAAAGUUUACAAUCACUUUUCAUUAAUUUUCCUUAAUUUCUAUUGGUUAAGAGGUUCCUGCAUGGAAGACAAUUUUAUGGUCUUUAGU